rnacentral:rRNA from 1 species
CUCCUUUGACGUUAGCGGCGGACGGGUGAGUAACACGUGGGUAACCUACCUAUAAGACUGGGAUAACUUCGGGAAACCGGAGCUAAUACCGGAUAAUAUUUCGAACCGCAUGGUUCGAUAGUGAAAGGUGGUUUUGCUAUCACUUAUAGAUGGACCCGCGCCGUAUUAGCUAGUUGGUAAGGUAACGGNUUACCAAGGCGACGAUACGUAGCCGACCUGAGAGGGUGAUCGGCCACACUGGAACUGAGACACGGUCCAGACUCCUACGGGAGGCAGCAGUU